GUUAUGAUGGAUAAAGAGACAGGUGUUCUGGUGACCUGUAACCCCAUCAGGAGCCCCAAGGGUCACCUCCUGCUAAACCAAACAUAACCUUUAUCAGUGAAGGUCACUCCUGAGAAACCCUGUUGAGAAACCCUGCAGACAGGAAAGCCAAGGAGGCCUCCUCCUUUCCAUUGUCAUUGUCUUUUAAGGGAGCUUGAACAGGUUAGCUCCUACAGACUUCUUUAACUGCCUGGAACACUCUGCUAAUUCUAUUUCCCAUACUCUUCAACUGAGUCAAGAGAAGAAAACAGACAUUUGGAACCCUGAUCCAAUCAAAUUAAUAUUCUGGUGAUCAGAAGCCAAGACUGUACAGAGAUUUCUGAGGCCUCUCCAGGAAUUCUGUCCAGAAUCCAGCUCUGGAGGACUUCAGUGUGCGAGAAUGUACAGUACAUUGGAUGGACUCUGGGGUCUAAGGAAUGAAGUUUGUCCUCAUUAGGACAAAAAGAUACAAGAGGAACGCCCGAGUACAUAUAGAACACAGGGUGCCAUGAUGUGGAGCCUGAAGACAAGGGAGGCUGCUGAACACUCUAAUGCCUGUAUGAGUGAACUUGGACAUGAACAGUGUAGCUGGAUCUGUUUGCCUUCAGUUCAAGCUGCAAUGUUGUCACCAUCUCCUCUUUCAGCCCAUGUAUCCUUGACAAGGUUGUUCUGCCCUUCAAGCUCAUAUGAUGGUUGUGCAUGUAGGAGACCUAGCCUUCUGUCACCAAGGAAACAGAAAGCAGAGGAGGAAUGUGACCGUGGGAGGCUGCAGGCAAAAGUGAUGUGGGGCCAAACUGUACCUGGAAGCUACAUGGUACAAUCCCUGAGGCCCUGUUCAGACCUUCAUUCUAUUCUGGUGUCUUCCUAGUGACAGCCCUGCUAGCCAAUGACAACAACUUCUCCCUGACUCUUCCCCAGCUUUGCUUCCCAGUCGUGAGACUUGAAGAGCACAGAGGAUGGCCUCUGUAGGUCAGUCACUGGCUCUGGACCAUUGACCACUACCACUGCUUUUACUUGGGAUGGUGUUCAAAUUGUGGGAUGUCUGAGAAAGCUGGGUUCCACGUUUUUGCUAUGCAACCUGUUCCUCACGUCCUGGACUUUGCCUGCUCCAGUCCUCAGUUGCCAUUCAGUAAGCAUUGUGACGUGUAAGGCUCUCAGGAGAAGCCAGAUCCCAGUGGCAUUAGUGUGACAAACAAGCUGUGCCCAAGGAGCUGACACUCUGGCAGAGUCCAGGACAUUCAGGAAGACAGAGGUGGUGAGAUAUCACCAACUAUGACUCUGACAUCCAAUGAAGCAGUCGAGGGCCAUGAGGCUUUUCUGACUGAGGCAACACAGCCUGGAGCCCAAAUCCCGAGGCUGUGCACCAAAGUCCUUCCCUGUUUGUCACUGGUGAGCACAGGCUGACCUGAAAGUCUGGACCUGAUCUCUCAGUGAAGGCAAAACCGCUUGACCUCUGAUUUUGAACUGCAAUUGUAGCUAAUGCUGCUAUUGAUUUAAAAAUCUAGUUCAAUAUGUGAAAAAAUACACUCUUCAAUCUCCUGGAACAUUCUGUCUCAGAGAGGACCGUGUCUACACGUCAAAGAAAAGACCAGAUCCUGGUGCUUUCCCACAAGAAGUUGCUCAAUAUGGCUACCAGGCAGGCCAAACAAAAGCCUCUGUCUGCAGACAGGAGGGCACCAACAAUGUGUCAAGAAACCUCAUCUGCAUCGUCACAAGCAUCUGCAGUGUGGAUAUCUGGUCAACAUGGUCUUUUGACAGUUGUGGAGCCCCUCCCACCAAUAAAGCUUUUGUAGGUGAAGAACCUGAAGGAUCAGAGGCUGUGCCAGUACAUGCUGGAGAAAUACUUGACUGGACUCGGGAGUAGGAGCCAAGGCAUUGGCCCACAGAUGUGCUGUUCUCCUUCUUUGGAUACCCGUCGCAACAACACAAUCUUCUCUGUCUACUGGAGUUGUCUUGGUUGUAGAUUUGGAGAUCCUCAAUAUCCCAGCUUAGUUCUCUAAUGUUAAGUCAUAUCGACUCUUAGCAUAGUACGUUAUUUGCCACUGUUCUUUCUACCUUUAUUUUGCCAGAAUUUUCUAUGGGUAAGUUAUUCCAUCUAUAACACUUUAUGAUGUGUAAGCCCACACGAAGGUACCCAGAGCCCAUACACAAUGUGCUCUUAUUUACCUGUGAGAAGUCCAAGCCAGUAAACCAAUCUUAACUCAGUGGUGAGAAGGAACUUAAAACUUAGAACAGGACUUGUUUUCAUUCCUUUCUUGUUAGUAUCAUUCACAACUUCUGUAGAAGUUGGGAGUCCAGAAAGCAAAGGGCGGGACUUUCUCACAUGAUCUUGACCCAUGUUGGGUUUUCUGUCUUCCAUCUCCACCUUUAACAUUUAAUAUACCACAUCUCUCCAAAGGUCAUGCCUAUUCUAGUGUGCUGCACUCAGUGAAGAAGUUGGAGCAAGUGUCAAAAGAGUGAAGGCCAAGCUCUGACUGUAACAGAGAGUUUGAUAUGGAUAAAUGAUGCUUUGAAAAACACGUGACUUUUCGCUGGGACCUCCAUCUACUGUAAAUAACCAACAAUCUGUUCAAGGAUCAAUGUGCCUCUGAGAUGAGGACAACAAGGCAUCACUAAGAAAUCUAUAUAGUCCUACCUCCCAGAAGAUGAGUGAAGGUGUUACAGUUAGGAUGACUGUUGACAUGAGGCUCUCAGAGGUUCUCCACAAAUCUGAAGGACAAGAUUGAGAUUGCCAUUCUUAUGGUCUUUCCAUAGUCUCCCCUUGCAAUUAGAAUUGACCAUCACUGUGGACCUCAUCUAUUAGAUGAAGGAUAUCUAGAAAGCCUCUGGACAGGCAGCAUGGCAGAAAUCAACUCUUUCCACAAAAAAAGAAGGCUGCUGCUGACACAGUGGAUAGAGCACACACAAGCUCCCUGUCUGACUCCUUCAGCUCUUGCAUAUCCCCUUGGCUAACAUUUCAGAGCUUCUGAUCCUUCAGACAUCAGCUUCUUGAUACUGAAGAGAUUGUUCUACCUGAUGAGCCCAGGCCUAGAAGAUGGACUACAUCCAAGAAGCCUGGCCAAUCUAAGGCCAAGUCACAUCUUUAAGAAAUAUUUGAAAGCAUUUGUGCACGGGAUAAAGGUGCAAGGACCAAAGUCUCCUUAGACAUUCCAGCCUACAGAGGGUCUGACAGACUCAGGUCAAAGGUUACGUCUGAAGCCUAGAUCAUGAAGAAGGCCCCACUCCACAGGAGAAGCCUGUGGCUGAUGCUAUUGCAACUAGGACUAUGAUUGUGAAACUUGUGUCUGUGGAUAGCAGAUUCACGAAUCUUGUGCCCAGGUAUCCACAGGCCUUUUUUCAUACAUUCCUUUGUAUAACUUUGCAAGUCCUGAUUUUGGAAGUGUUGGGUCCUUAUGCUAUCUCACUUGACAUAUAGUCCAAGAAAGAUUUUUACCCCUUUAAGGGGCUGGAAAUAGACUGGACUCACAGUUACCAUUAAAACUGAAGUUCUGUCCUGUGUGGUUAUUGGCCCUUUUAAAACUUGUUUGACUGGG
ensembl:lncRNA